rnacentral:rRNA from 1 species
GGCAGCACGGGCUUCGGCCUGGUGGCGAGUGGCGAACGGGUGAGUAAUAUAUCGGAACGUACCCAAGAGUGGGGGAUAACGUAGCGAAAGUUACGCUAAUACCGCAUACGAUCUAUGGAUGAAAGCAGGGGACCGCAAGGCCUUGUGCUCCUGGAGCGGCCGAUAUCUGAUUAGCUAGUUGGUGAGGUAAAGGCCCACCAAGGCGACGAUCAGUAGCUGGUCUGAGAGGACGACCAGCCACACUGGAACUGAGACACGGUCCAGACUCCUACGGGAGGCAGCAGUGGGGAAUUUUGGACAAUGGGCGCAAGCCUGAUCCAGCAAUGCCGCGUGAGUGAAGAAGGCCUUCGGGUUGUAAAGCUCUUUUGUCAGGGAAGAAACGGCUGUGGCUAAUAUCCUGGGCUAAUGACGGUACCUGAAGAAUAAGCACCGGCUAACUACGUGCCAGCAGCCGCGGUAAUACGUAGGGUGCAAGCGUUAAUCGGAAUUACUGGGCGUAAAGCGUGCGCAGGCGGUUUUGUAAGUCUGUCGUGAAAGCCCCGGGCUCAACCUGGGAAUUGCGAUGGAGACUGCAAGGCUUGAAUCUGGCAGAGGGGGGUAGAAUUCCACGUGUAGCAGUGAAAUGCGUAGAGAUGUGGAGGAACACCGAUGGCGAAGGCAGCCCCCUGGGUCAAGAUUGACGCUCAUGCACGAAAGCGUGGGGAGCAAACAGGAUUAGAUACCCUGGUAGUCCACGCCCUAAACGAUGUCUACUAGUUGUCGGG